rnacentral:rRNA from 1 species
UCGGGAAUUUUGGGCAAUGGGCGAAAGCCUGACCCAGCAACGCCGCGUGAAGGAUGAAAUCCCUCGGGAUGUAAACUUCGCAAGAAUAGGAAGAAUGAACGAGCGCUAACACCGUUCGUGACGACAGUACUAAAUAGCCG